rnacentral:lncRNA from 1 species
GAGCACACAGAAGAGAAGUGGCCACAAUCUCACUGGCCAGUCUUGCCUGUAGCUACCGUCUUGUCAUCAACGUGUGUUCCUGGAUUUUCUGCUGCAAACAACCCUGCAUCUCAAAGAACAGUAAUGUAUUCAAGAGAAGAACAACCAUGGCAGGAAUCUGACAAUAAUCAUCCAUAUCUACUCCCUUCUCCAAGCAGAAGUGCAAGGGUUCGCAGGCCAGCCCUGCCUUCCAGGCCGCUGACAACAUCCAGAGCUGGCUACACAGCACGGCCCCCUCCAGGCCCAGCAGAGGCGGCAGAGAGACAUCCCGGAAAUAAAUUAAAACAGACUGAUUAUCCUCUCUGGGUGUAGCUUAAACCAUAUCAGAAAAAUUGCCUAGAAAUAAAAUUGGAUAGCAGCCCUGACAAACCAGUGCAAGUAAUUAUAUCAACUUGAUGGCAAUAAUUAUUUUUCAUAAAACUCAGUUACUUCCCACCUCCAAUAAAUCUACCGUAGGAUAAUUCUGUAAUAUGUUUUCACUGUACAUAAAACCAGGAGUCGUCACCAAGUGUGCCGUGAAUAUGCAUUGAGUUUCA